rnacentral:rRNA from 1 species
UACGUAGGGUGCGAGCGUUGUCCGGAAUUAUUGGGCGUAAAGAGCUUGUAGGCGGUCUGUCGCGUCUGCUGUGAAAAUCCGGGGCUCAACCCCGGACUUGCAGUGGGUACGGGCAGACUAGAGGUGUGGUAGGGGAGACUGGAAUUCCUGGUGUAGCGGUGAAAUGCGCAGGAUAUCAGGAGGAACACCGAUGGCGAAGGCAGGUCUCU